CCAUGCCUGAAAAAUGAAGAUAACGAUGAACCGCAAGAUGUUGAGUGAUUUGUUCAGACAAUGGAUAGAUCGGAUGUGUAGCUCGUAGCAAAUGACGACGACGAUAGCGAUUCCAACCGAGAUGUCAGUGAGUUGGGAUUAUCGAAGAAUGGUUCCACCGAUGCUUAUGGAUUUUUAACAUGUUUCCACAGCGCGCAAACGUCGAUGAUCGUAUCCAGUUUUCAUCACCGACUUUUUAUCAAUUGAAAAUUAAUAACCGUCGUACCGGGAGACGCGUCGUACGACAUCGUUUAGUUAAAAGUGAUACCGUAUCACGCGGUGCGUCUGUGAGUCGGUUUGUCACGUGGUCUCACUAAUGGAAAUUAGACACUUGACCGUCCCGAGUGUCGGACAUAUCGAUCAAAGCUUCGGGGCACUUUAUGCAUCACGUGAGUGGCCGUGCAGUUAAUUCGUCGUUCGAAAUGAGGUUGAGCUUUUUUCGUCAGUUGCACUUGCGGACAGAAAAGGAAGGGGUGGAACGGGGGAGGUGGGAAUGUCGGAAAAAAACUGCGAGAUAUGACCAUGAAGAACCUUUCUCAACGAUAAGGUGAAUUCGGACGAAGAAGGAAACUGAGAGGGCGUUGGAUUACCGAGCAUCGGUGCGGCGGUCAACCGACCCUUGUCCUCGGUCCUCAUUUUGAAGUCGCAUGAAGCCGCAGGGUUGAAUGGCCGUCAGGUGCGGAUGAGGGUCUUUGAAUAACACAAAGAGGACUAAAUUAUUGGCGUCUACAUUCCGCCGAAUGUUGUUGUGCCGAAGAAUAAGCCAACUGCCAAUUGCUUACAGCUGCGUUUGACGUUCAAACCUUUCCUCGAUUUACCUGUUUGAUCAACUGCAUCUUGGACUUCACUCUCUAACGGCGGCUUUACACCUGUACAAACAGAAAAAACUCAUCAGUAUUAUACAGUACUGUAACCUUCUGAACCAAUGUCGCGACCUCUUUGAAUUUUCGACUCGCAAUUAAAGAAAACCCCGAUUCAUGGAGCCGAAGAAUAAACUGAAACACCACGAUUUUGACCGCUGUUUCAAGCAGAUGGAAGUUAAUGCGUAACAAAGGAGGAUUUUUUUGCGAAAAAGGAUUCGUCGGUAAAAAUUUGGAGUGACCUGUCAGUUUUGUAAACCACAAAGCGGCUCCCGUCAGAUUUUACGACAGUUUAAAUUUUGCUACGUUAAAAUGACCUUUCGUUCGUUGUUGAUUUUCGACUUCCAUAACAGCUUUGUUAACGUUAAUAAUUGUACGUUGUAAAAACGUAGAUGCAAAAUCGACGCCGAAGAGAAUUCACCUCCGUCCGACGCU
rnacentral:lncRNA from 1 species